CAGGGAAUGAAGUUCUCCCUUGGAAAACCAGAACUGCUUAUUUAGCUGAUGACUUCUACGAU
rnacentral:ncRNA from 1 species